AGAGUUUGAUCAUGGCUCAGAAUCAACGCUGGCGGCGCGCCUAACACAUGCAAGUCGAACGAGAAAGCCGCAAGGCAAGUAAAGUGGCGUACGGGUGAGUAACACGUGGAUGAUCUACCUUUUAGUGGGGAAUACCGUUGGGAAACCGACGACAAUACCGCAUAAGCCCGAGAGGGGAAAGCAGCAAUGCGCUGAAAGAGGAGUCCGCGGUCGAUUAGUUAGUUGGCGGGGUAAAAGCCCACCAAGACUGUGAUCGAUAGCCGGCCUGAGAGGGCACACGGCCACACUGGCACUGAAACACGGGCCAGACUCCUACGGGAGGCAGCAGUGGGGAAUCUUGCACAAUGGGGGAAACCCUGAUGCAGCGACGCCGCGUGAGCGAUGAAGCCCUUCGGGGUGUAAAGCUCUUUCGUCGGGGAAGAUAAUGACGGUACCCGGAGAAGCAGCUGCGGCUAACUACGUGCCAGCAGCCGCGGUAAUACGUAGGCAGCAAGCGUUGUUCGGAGUUACUGGGCGUAAAGGGUGCGUAGGCGGCUAUUUAAGUUUGGUGUGAAAUCUCCCGGCUCAACUGGGAGGGUGCGCCGAAUACUGAGUGGCUAGAGUGCGGGAGAGGAAAGUGGAAUUCCUGGUGUAGCGGUGAAAUGCGUAGAUAUCAGGAGGAACACCGGUGGUGUAAACGGCUUUCUGGACCGUAACUGACGCUGAGGCACGAAAGCGUGGGUAGCAAACAGGAUUAGAUACCCUAGUAGUCC
rnacentral:rRNA from 1 species